GGCGCAUGCGCGCAGUUCCGCCGCCGGCGGCCGGGGCCUAUGUACCAAUGGCUGCUGGCGGCCCUCGGCGCCCUCUUCCCCGCCGCCCGCCGUCCUGCGCCGCCCCCGGCCCCGGCCGCGGCCCCGGCCCCGGCCCCGCCGCCGCCUCGCAAGAGGCCGCUCCACAGCGCUCAGCCACCUCUGGAAGAUCCUGACCAGACUCGACCAAAAAAGCAAAAAACAGGUUGCGCCACCUCUGAGCCUACAGAGAAAGUUGAAGAAGUUUCUGCUGUGGCGAAGGUGCCGGCUGAGGCAACAAACGAGCACUGGAAAGCUUCAGUCAGCAAUGCAGCUCCAAUCACAGAGCCCACAGAAGAGACUCAGUCCACUUCGUCUGACCCUUUGUCUAAAAGACCAGCAAGUUCUGCGCUAGAAGUAGAAAUGCUACAGAUUGAUAAAAUGCCUUGUGGAACCAACGCUUGCUUGAAUAAUGAAACACUAUCCCUUUCUCACAAGACAAUUCCCUGUUUGAGCACUAGCAGGAAUGGCAACCACCAUGUCAAAACUACUCCAGAAGACACCGUAACACUCAGGCCACCCAUUAAGGAGCACACUACGCCAGAGUCUGCAACUUCAGAAGUCAGCAAAAUGGGGAGGCCUUUUUGUACUGUGGAAGAGGAUGUUCUGAGAGGCGAAAAGGAGAAAUACAAACAGCUCUUGAAACUAGUAAAGGAAAAAUAUCCUAGAAGCCGCUCUAUCUCACAGCCGACAAGCUUCUGCAAUGUUCAGGCUUACUCCAAGGAACCAGUGAUGGCUGCAAGUCACCUGGAUGAACAAAAACGCGGAGGAGAUGUCUGUCAAUAUAUGACACUAAGAACCAAUAGCAAACGUGCAGACAGGCUGCAGCACACACUGGUCUCCAAGAAGCGAUAUAAUCAGAUACUACACACCAGCAGAAAAUUCUCAUGA
rnacentral:lncRNA from 1 species